rnacentral:rRNA from 1 species
GACGAACGCUGGCGGCGUGCUUAACACAUGCAAGUCGAACGGUGAAGGGACCGGUUUUUGCUGGUCUGGAUGAGUGGCGAACGGGUGAGUAACACGUGAGUAACCUGCCCCCUUCUUCUGGAUAACCGCAUGAAAGUGUGGCUAAUACGGGAUAUUCUGCGCCUGCUGCAUGGUGGGUGUGGGAAAGAUAUUGUUUCGGUGGGGGAUGGGCUCGCGGCCUAUCAGCUUGUUGGUGGGGUGAUGGCCUACCAAGGCGGUGACGGGUAGCCGGCCUGAGAGGGUGGACGGUCACACUGGGACUGAGACACGGCCCAGACUCCUACGGGAGGCAGCAGUGGGGAAUAUUGCACAAUGGGCGCAAGCCUGAUGCAGCGACGCCGCGUGAGGGAUGGAGGCCUUCGGGUUGUAAACCUCUUUCGCCAGUGAAGCAGGCCUGUCCCUUUUGUGGGUGGGUUGACGGUAGCUGGAUAAGAAGCGCCGGCUAACUACGUG